rnacentral:rRNA from 1 species
AACGAACGCUGGCGGCAUGCCUAACACAUGCAAGUCGAACGAGACCUUCGGGUCUAGUGGCGCACGGGUGCGUAACGCGUGGGAACCUGCCCUUAGGUUCGGCAUAACUCCCCGACAGGGGUGCUAAUACCGGAUAAUGUCUUCGGCCCAAAAAUUUAUCGCCUUUGGAUGGUCCCGCGUUGGAUUAGCUAGUUGGUAGGGUAAAAGGCUACCAAGGCGACGAUCCAUAGCUGGUCUGUGAGGAUGAUCAGCCACACUGGGACUGAGACACGGCCCAGACUCCUACGGAAGGCAGCAGUGGGGAAUAUUGGACAAUGGGCGAAAGCCUGAUCCAGCAAGGCCGGGUGAGUGAUGAAGGCCUUAGAGUUGUAAAGCUCUUUUACCCGGGAUGAUAAUGACAGUACCGGGAGAAUAAGCUCCGGCUAACUCCGUG